rnacentral:rRNA from 1 species
GGGUAACCUACCCUAUGCUGGGGAAUAAGCUCGGGAAACUGAGAAUAAUACCCCAUAGUCCACUACGCCUGGAACGGUGAGUGGAUCAAAGCUCCGGCGGCAUAGGAUGGGCCUGCGGCGUAUCAGGUUGUAGGGGGUGUAAUGUACCCUCUAGCCAUCCACGCGUACGGGUGUUGGGAGACAUUGCCCGGAGAUGGAUUCUGAGACACGAAUCCAGACCCUACGGGGUGCAGCAGGCGCGAAAACUUGGCAAUGCGAGAAAUCGUGACCAGGGAACUCCAAGUGGCAGGGGUAAGACCCUGUCUUUUUCCGACUCUAAAUAGGUCGGCGAAUAAGGGGUGGGUAAGGACGGUGCCAGCCGCCGCGGUAAUACCGGCGCCUCAAGUGGUAGUCGCUUUUAUUGGGCCUAAAACGUCCGUAGCCGGUCUGGUACAUUCGUGGGUAAAUCAACUCGCUCAACGAGUUGAAUUCUGCGAGGACGGCCAGACUUGGGACCGGGAGAGGUGUGGGGUACUCUCAGGGUAGGGGUAAAAUCCUGUCAUCCUGAGAGGACCACCUGUUGCGAAGGCUCCACACUAGAACGGAUCCGACGGUCAGGGACGAAGCCUAGGGGCACGAACCGGAUUAGAUACCCGGGUAGUCCUAGGUGUAAACGCUGUGGACUUGAUGUUGGGGACGCUCCGAGCGUUCUCAGUGUC